rnacentral:rRNA from 1 species
GACGAACGCUGGCGGCGUGCUUAACACAUGCAAGUCGAACGGACAGGCCCUGCUUUUGUGGGGUGCUCGAGUGGCGAACGGGUGAGUAACACGUGAGUAACCUGCCCUUGACUUUGGGAUAACUUCAGGAAACUGGGGCUAAUACCGGAUAGGAGCUCCUGCUGCAUGGUGGGGGUUGGAAAGUUUCGGCGGUUGGGGAUGGACUCGCGGCUUAUCCGCUUGUUGGUGGGGUAGUGGCUUACCAAGGCUUUGACGGGUAGCCGGCCUGAGAGGGUGACCGGCCACAUUGGGACUGAGAUACGGCCCAGACUCCUACGGGAGGCAGCAGUGGGGAAUAUUGCACAAUGGGCGGAAGCCUGAUGCAGCAACGCCGCGUGCGGGAUGACGGCCUUCGGGUUGUAAACCGCUUUCGCCUGUGACGAAGCGUGAGUGACGGUAAUGGGUAAAGAAGCACCGGCUAACUACGUG